UACGGAGGGGGCUAGCGUUGUUCGGAAUUACUGGGCGUAAAGCGCACGUAGGCGGACUUUUAAGUCGGGGGUGAAAUCCCAGGGCUCAACCCUGGAACUGCCUUCGAUACUGGAGGUCUGGAGGUCGAGAGAGGCGAGUGGAAUGCCGAGUGUAGAGGUGAAAUUCGUAGAUAUUCGGCGGAACACCAGUGGCGAAGGCGGCUCGCUGGCUCGAUACUGACGCUGAGGUGAGAAAGCGUGGGGAGCAAACAGG
rnacentral:rRNA from 1 species